rnacentral:rRNA from 1 species
UACGUAGGGGGCAAGCGUUGUCCGGAUUUAUUGGGCGUAAAGAGCGUGUAGGCGGCCAGACAGGUCCGUUGUGAAAACUCGAGGCUCAACCUCCAGACGUCGAUGGAAACCGUCUGGCUAGAGUCCGGAAGAGGAGAGUGGAAUUCCUGGUGUAGCGGUGAAAUGCGCAGAUAUCAGGAAGAACACCCGUGGCGAAAGCGGCUCUCUGGGACGGUACUGACGCUGAGACGCGAAAGCGUGGGGAGCGAACAGG